rnacentral:lncRNA from 1 species
CAUAAUAUCGGCGAGGAUCUCCAAGAGAAGCUUGAGCAGUUGCCUGAAGUUGAGCGAGCUUUUGUGCAUAUAGAUUUCGAGUUUUCCCAUAGGCCUGAACACAAGAGCAAGAUCUAAAGGGUGAUAGUACUAAUGGCUGGAGCCCAACCUUUCACUGCAAGUUCUUUGCGAAGACAACUAAUUUUCUCUUGUUCCACUGCAUAAUUGACAGCAAUCAGAAUUUUGUUGACUGCAGUACGUAUUAUAUAAUGUAAUCUUGUUCUUUGAUCUUGACAAGUGCGUCCCGUAUUUUAAAAAUUAAUCUUUUUAUUUUUAGUGCGUUCUCUGUUUAAUCGUUUUGCAAGAAAGAGAAUGAUAUCCUACCUUUUUCUUUAGCUGGGCAUAAAACUAGUCGGCCUUUAACAAUGGAGAUUGUAGAUUUCCUCGUAUCAUGCAUUUCUUGCACUAAUUAAUUUGAUAUGUUUAAUUGUUCUUGCACUAAAUAGUUGAAUGAGACUAGAUAAGAAUAUGUUAGUGCCAUCCAAUUCGAUCACGAUAAGUAUAUUUUAACAUAAAUAGUGAUUCCAUUUUAAAAUGUAUAUAUUACUUUUGAAUUUUCAUGAGUAAUUUAUUAUUAGUAUUGUUAUUUUCAUAUUAUAUACAUAAUAAUUGAAAAAUAAAAUAUUAAAAUUUAAAUUUAUAGUGUUAUUUAAGAACCAUGUAAAAAUAAAAGAAUAAUUAAGUAAAUCAACAUGAUAUAUAAUUAUUUGUUUUUGAGUUUUGAAAACAAAAAUAGAUAAAAGCAUCAGGCCCCCAGUAGCAAGCCUGACCUUGCCUCUUUUUAUUUUUUUUAAGGGUUUUUUUUAAAAAAACAAUUACAUAGAAAACAUAUUAUUUAUUGAUGCAAACGAUUUAUUGUUUAUUUGUCUAGUUUCUGGCAGCUGAGGUGGUUGAAAACUGAGCAUAAAUUUUCCUUUAAUUUUUUGAACCAAAUAACCUAUUUUUAAUCAAUAUUUUUACCUGAAAACACAUGGAAACAACAUACACAACUCAAUACAUGUAGUUUCCUGUAGUGUAUUUAGAGAAAUUUAAUUUCUUUCGGUGCUUACUUCAAGAUUUACAGCUAUAAAAUUAAACAAUUGAGCAAAAUUUUAAGUAAAUUCUUUAAAGUUUUUAUUAAUUAAUGUUGAAUACAGGAUAUUUUUUUUGCUGAUUUUCUUUUUAGUUGAUCGCUUGCAAUGUAUAUGAAUAUGAUCCAUAUUUCACAGCAUGCUUGCCACAAAGUCACAGCUCACAAUUAAAACUACAAACAAGAUGACAUCUACCUCGUAAUAAUCAUACUCAACCUUCAUCGAAUGAUUUCGUCUAUGCCCCAUGCACGUUCUUUUAUGUUUUUUUAGGUAAUGUGACUGAGAGCUAGGAUAGAAGAACAGUUAAUUUAUUACAAGAACUGAUUAUAGAAGACUCUAUGCAAGGAAUAAAAUUGAUUUUAAUGAUAAGUUAUUUUGCCUUUAUGCACACGUUCCCAGUGAUCUUACAUUGUCGGCCGAUUAAUGGCUCAUAGGGCAGUAGCAACUGCAAAAUGAUCCCUUGCAUUGUUUUUUAAGUAACUAAUGUCCUGUUUGCUAUUGUUGGAUAAAAUUUAAAAUAUUUUAUUUUAAAUUAAAUUUUUAUAUGUUUUUAUAUCAUUUUGAUAUAUUAAUAUCAAAAAUAUUUUUUAAAAAAUAAAAAAAUAUUUUUUUUAAUAUUUUUUAAAUAAAAAUUAAUUUAAAAAAUAACAAUUACCACACUCUCAAAAUUAUUAGACUGCACAGCGCUUCUGAAUCUCCUCCAUCACCCUUUGUAAGCUAAGCUAGGGAAAUUCAGGACCAUAUUGGACCCAUAAAGAUUUUGUUGUCAUUGAUAAAAAUUCAGGUAAAGAAUUUCGCUGUCCCUGUAGCGUCCCGCUCACGAAAUUGCCGAAUCCAUGUUUGAAGAAGCGGGCUUUUCAUUUUGGAAAAAGAAAAAAAGAAAAAGAAGCCACGUGUAGCUCGGCCUUUUCCUAUAACAUGGAGGCGGUUUUGGGGAUUCUUGAACGCGUAGAAUCUGCACAAGUUACAGCCACCACCAUUUUCAUUUUUCUCUCCUGGCAAAAAAGUUACAUGGAAGGAGAUCAGAGCGAUCACAAAAAGAAUGUUAGAGAAGAUUAUAGAGCAGAGGCUCUUCCAUUUGCAAAAUCAGCGGUAGAAGAGGACCCAUUGUCAUGGCGACUCAGUCUCGACAGUUUUCGCAUAGAAAAGCAAGACACUGAUCGUGGUCGUCACACUUGGUCCUCUUUCCUGCACACAUCAUCAAGUAAUGCAUUCCUCGCCUCGAUCUUCUCCUUGAUCUUGCUGCCUUGACCGCAUCUGCCUCAUUUCAGUUCUCUUCGUUGCCUUAAUCUUUUCCUUUUCUUUUGUUUUUUGUUUCUUACUUUCUAUAUUCAGCUUUUAAACUCUUUGUUGGUAGUUAAGUGGUGGUUAAAUUAUAAAUUAGUUUUCUAGUUCAAAACAAAUUAAAUAUCCCCUCUAGUUUUAAAAACUAAUUGAUAGUCUCUGUCAUCAAUCUCUUUUUUUUUUUCAAUUUUUUUUAUUUUAAUAAAUAGAAGAAAAAAAGAAGUAAAUAACAUGAAAGAAAAAAAAAUCGAACAAAGUACGUAAUAAAUUAAACAUAAUCAACAUUAGCAAUCAAUUAGUUUCAAUUAGGAUAUUAGCACUUGAAAUGUACGAACAUUCAAGAUUGGCCGUCAUCACAUCUUCAAGCCUCUCUUCUAGUUUUCUGUUGUUCCUAUCUGCCUAGCAUCUUGCCAGUAGCUUGUGCUUCACAUGCCUUGCAUGUUCUAGGUUGUCUUUUUUUUUUUUUUUUUUUCCUGGGACAAGACAAUAUUUCCACACCUGACAAGGUUACAGAUCAUAUAUAAGAUUGUGGUCUAAUUAAGAUUUUCAAUAUUAAUUUCUUGCUACAUGGGAUGAUCUUAAAUAUAUACAUGCAUGUAUUCCAUUUAUGUAUAUAUGCAUGGAUAUACCUGUUGUGAUCAAUACUGGUCUAUAUAUAAUUCUAUCCGUCCCUGUUAAGCUUAGAUGAGAAUAUAUGACCUCCUAUAAAUUAUGUAAGGUGGACAAGAGAAAGGGGAAGAAAAUGCUGAAAUUAACGCCGAGAUUAUGCCGUGUGUGUUGCACCACAACAGAUUUUACCCAGUUAUUUAGGAAUAGGCGGUUACAGCUUGCACUGCCCCCCCGCUGUAAACGACUACAACUCCAUAAAGCCUGAAAAGAUAGUCAUAAGUUCUUAAAAAAAAAAAAUAACCGAUCGCUGCCAGUAUAUAAGCUGUGAAGAAGUGAUCAAAGCGACACUAGUCAUGGCUAGAGAGAGUGGCGGCGGCGGCGGCACUGAUUAUACAACAGAAGAUGAUAACACUCAUUUGCUUCCUCCACCGGCCUCAUGGAGAUUAGAUAUUGAUAAGUUCCGUCUUCCUCGAGAAAGUCAUAAUUAAGCAUCGAAAGUCAUGAUCGAUCGAGUCUCUUCUUUCUGGCCUGGACCGUCUCCUCCCUACUUCAAGCGCUCACUAUUUAAUUUCCUCUCUCGAUCUCUUUUCUCAAUUGUUUGUUUUUCUUUUAAGAUAUUGUAGCUGUUAUUUUAAUUAUUUUUAUGAACGCGCUAUGCUAUAGUUUUUUUCUUCCUCCAAAUAAAAGGUUCGAGCCUAGAUCUACGAGGAGGGGACACCAAUGCUCUAUGCUAUAGUUGAAAGAGUUUCAAGCAGGUUUUUAAUGAACAAAAUCUAACACUGUAUUGUCUAGUUUCAACGCCCUGAAUUUAUUUAUUUUUGCUUUUCAUCAUCUACUAUAUACACUGUUACUUGUUUAUAUUACAAGUGUAUAUUUGUGGUGUUAGUUUGGCCAUGAAUAAUAGCCACUGUCCAUUGCAUUUAGCUCUCUGCUAGUUGGGACUGUCCGUUUAAGCCUGGAGGAAGAAUUUUUUUUUAUUUAGUGGGAAGGUGAGAGGUGACCUUCGAUUCCAUGGAAUUUAUUCUAGUUUGGUAUGAGUGUAAUUAGUGGGGUUGCCAAUUGCCAUGACUUAUCACAAGAUUCAAGUACUGUUGGGUUUUUCUGGUUCGACAUUGAUUCUUUUUUGCGAAGUUGGUGAUGGCAAUAGGAAUUCCUUACAAGGGGUUUUCCUUUUAUAUAAAUGGAAAAGCAACGAGAGAAAGCAGUCCACGUACCAAGCGUAAAAGCAUACUAAUUUUCCUAGUCAUUUCUCACCUUAAUUUGUCUAAGAUGGUAAUAUAAUAAUAUGAUAAAAUUUUACACGUCUUCUUAGUGGAUUCUGAUGCAUAUAUUAUUGUUAUAGUAAUCAAUUUUGUGAUUCCUACUUUGAUUUGUUUGCUCUCUGAAUGUUCCCUGUCCUGUCGCAGCUUGAUUGUUUAUUUGCUUAUUUAUUAAUUAAUUGACUUUUGACAAAGACUGAUCGAUGAGUGAAAAUUAUUGUUACCCUUCUUGUACCAAGUAUGGUUUAUUGAAACAAUUUUUUUAUUUUAAUAAUUUAAUAUUAAAUUUAUUAGGAAUUGAGUUUUAUAAUUUAUUUUAAUUUAUUUUUUAUAAAAUUAUUCUAUUCUUAUGAUUCGUGUCACGGAUUUAAUUAAUGGGUUAAUCCAUUUGACUUAAGUUUUUUUUUUGGUUUUUUUUGUUAUUGAUUUUUUUUUUAUUUCAUCUUUUAACAUUUGAUUUGAUUGAGAAUUAAGUUUUAAAAUUUAUCUUAAUUUGUUUAAUAUGAGGUUAUCUAGUCUUAUGAAUCGAGUCAAGAGUUUAGUGGGUUUUUUUUGUCCUUUCUAAUUAAUUGUUUUUUCAAUUUUAUACUUUAAUAUUGGAUUGAUUGAGAAUUAAACUUAAUAAUUUAUUUUGAUUUGUUUUUAAUUAGUUUUUCUUUCUCUCAUGAUCGAGGUUUAACAUGUUAACUUGAGUUUUUUUUAUCCUUUUUUAAUUUAUUUUUCCAAUCUCAUUCUUCAACAUUGAGAAUUGAGUUUUAAUAUAUUUUUUUAUUUACUUUUUAUAAAGUUAUUACGGUCUCAUAACUCAAAUCGUGAAUUUUACAUGUUAACCUGGUUUGACUCGAGUCAAUCUAAUAUGUUGUCAUCUCAAUAAAAAAAAAAAUUAAAUAUCGUUUUAAAAACUUUUUUAGUCAAGUUAUAUUUUUCCUAGUUAUAUUUGAACUUGCCAAGUCAAUCAGGUUAUAUUGAAUCAAUUCUUACACAAUUAAUUUUUUUUUCUUCUUGAAAACAUGUUAGUAAUGCUAGGAUUUUUUUAUAUUUUUUUUAAAAUUGAUCCUAUCUACGUACAUGUAAACGAUCUAGUUUACAUCUAAAUGAGCAUUAAAUGACGUUUGAUGAUUUUGAGUAACUUGAAAAUUAAUGAUGCAAGCGUAAACAAAUUGUUUGCGUGCAAAAUUUCAAAUUAUCAAAUAUAUUAUUGAUAUAGAGAUUAUUUGUUUUUGUUUUUUAAAAUAAAUUUUGAAAAAAGUUUAUUUUUUAUUUUAAAUUAAAUAUUUUAGUGGUUUCGAUCGUUUUAAUAUAUUAAUAUUUAAAAUAAUUUUUUAAAAAUAAAAAAUAUUUUAAUAUAUUCCCAAAUAUAUUUUUUUAAAUAAUCGUUAGUGGGCUUUCAACCUCUCAUUACGUGGGGUGGCUUGAUCAGAUCUUAUAAACAAUGACUCGGGUUGCGGUAUCCUUUGACCACGAGAAGUGAGGCAAUGUAUACCAACCCAAUUUCGAGAGCAUUGAUUCUGUGAACUUCUCAAAUACCUGAAACUCGGGUUGUAAGUCGUUUCCUAAGACCUCUGAUCAUUCUACUUUGUACUGUAGGCUGAUGUCCUGGCUCUAAGCUAGUGACGUGUUGUUAUAUUGUAAGAACUACAUGUCUGGUUCAGUUACAGCAGAUGUUUUUUUUUGGCUUCUUGUCAAAACACAAGGAAGGAUCAUUUGUCGAGGUUUAAAGUUGUUUUGCUAUGCAGCUCGGACAUGUUUUUGCAAAAAUUUGAAAAAAACAAUAUUUUAAAUUAUUUUUUAAAUAUUUUUGUACGAUUUAAUUUAUUGAUAUUAAAAAUAAUUUUAAAAAAUUUUAAAAGUAUUAUUUCAAUAUAUUUUUAAAUUAAAUAUAUUUUUAAAAAACAACAACUGUUACAAUUUCGAUCACUUCCUUACUCUUCAAAUAUUAAAGCCCUGAAAAGAAUAAAAAAAAAAGAAGUUACAGUACUCUUCCACCAAGGACACCAAUAUGUAGUUUUUGUGCCUCUAGAGAGCCUUCUGUUUCUCUAUCCUCUUGUUUGGACAUUGGCAAGAGAAGGUUAUCAACUAUUUUUUAUCAUUGGAUCAAUUGUGUUAACGCUGCAUUCAGCACUUAAAAUUACUAACCAUUCUAGUUUGUGGUGGCUAGAUAAUUUACAAGAAGGAGUCCAAUAUUGUGGUGCAAAAAGCAUUAUUAGUAAAAUAGAUGGUUUUGAGUUGAGAGCAUGCCAUGCUUAACUUCCUGAUUGCAUGUUUAUUGUCACCAUGAUAAAGAUAACCAUUAUUGUGCUUUUGCAUCAUCCAGACUCCCUUGCAUUCAUGCCAAAACUGUGGCUGGUCAAAGCAUCAGUGGCUGAUGUUUUGGCCAGCCCCAGGUCUUUCUACAUUAUGGGCUAAACACCGAGUUAUUUAAAUAAUGAGCUGAUUAUAGAGUUCGUAGCUGUUUACAUUGAAUUUUAGCAAUUUACUACUCUAUUUGGUAGAUUCUUAAGACUUCUUGAAGCAUAAAUUUUACCUGACAGAUACAGGGAGCGAGUAGUAUGACAUUGGUUACUUGUAACUUCUUUCAUUGUAUUGGGACACUUCCAUUUGCUUGUGAUUUCAGUCUCUUUAGUGCUACAUUGUAGAAUUUAUGCCAUCUCUUUCUUCGAUGCUUGGCCUCAGGGAAGCAACGCAAGGUUUCUGAAUACUACAAGAAACAAGAAAGGCUCCUUGAAGGGUAUAAUGAGAUGGAGGCCAUGACUGAAUCGGGUUCUUUCCCUGGAAAUCCGACAGAGGUAGGAUGUUAUCUUCUUUUCCCCCUCUGCUCCCCACUCUUGCUAAUGAUAUAAUAGUUUCAAUCUGAAGGCAUCCUUCUUCUUUUCAGGAUGAAAUGAAGCAGCUGGCAAAGAGUGAGCGACUGGCAGUUCAUAUUUCCAAUCUAGCUAACUUGCUACUAUUUGCAGCAAAGGUUUAUGCUUCUAUGGAGAGCAAAUCUUUGGCAGUUAUUGCUUCAACUCUGGACUCCCUACUGGAUCUCUUGUCGGGAUUUAUUUUGUGGUUCACUUCCUAUGCCAUGAAAAAGCCAAACCAUUACCACCACUAUCCAAUUGGAAAGAAACGGAUGCAGCCCGUGGUAAGUUAGUGCAUUUACUUGGUCACUCAGCUUAAUACUUAUUUGUUUGGAAUCAGAUCCAUUGCAGACAUGACUUCUGAUCUUCUAUUUUUUCUUCUCUCAUUCUCUCAAAGAGGUCUGUAAGUGGAUUGUUAUAUCCACUCUAUGUGCUGUUAUGUUACACAAGCAUUCCUAAAGUAAAAUCUAUUCAGUGACAGAAAGCAAUAGAGGGCCAUGGAAGGUGUACUUCAAUUAUUGCGAUAGAAUUUCAAAAUGAUUACAGGCAAUAGCAUUUGCUUGGAUAUAUCCAAGGAUAAGAAGAUGCAAGAGACUAGCUAAUAUCACAAUCCAAUUGGGUUUCAAGAUGGAUAAACUGUCAUUGUUUUUGUCAGGGAAAAUUAACGAAUAUAUGGAGCAAAGAAAUGGAAAUAAUCAGCAUAGACUCCAAGUGAAAGCAAAUAGGAAUUCAAAUUUUGCAUAACUGGACAUCUUUCCAACUCAAAUUAUUAUGAAAUUAUUGAUUUUCUUCAUUUCAACAUGUCUGAUAAUCAUGCUUGAUUAUGCAGGGCAUCAUUGUCUUUGCAUCUGUAAUGGCGACACUGGGGUUGCAAAUUCUACUUGAGUCUGGUCGGCGGCUCGUUUUGAAGGUACGCGACUACGAUUUACUCAUUUUUCAUCUGAGAAAAAGGAUGAACUAAAAGUAGUGCAAUGUUGGACUCGUACUUAGAUUUUAACCUCGUUUUCACCUUUGACUUUUAUUCUCCAGAUCAGACAUUCGAGAAAAGAUUUAGAUCACUUGCUAGUAACAGCUUAGACUUUCUUAUAUGCUAUGAUACUUUCGGCCAAAAUUCAGUGAAAAAGAAAAUUUAAACUAUAAAAUUUGAAUGAUAUACCCACUCUGUCCAUGCUUUGAACUUUGUUUAAUCACAUUAGUUGCCACUGUCUCUGUCUUGGAAAGGGAGGGAGAUUGUCAAUUUAGGGAAAUAAUCGCAUAUGGAAUUGAGCUGAAAAACUGAUUCGAUAUUUUUCUGUUAAUAUCCAGGACCUCUUAGAUUUAAAUUUGAACAGAUUUUCUUCAGGAAAAAUUUCAUGAGUAUUGCUUCGAUUGUCCUACUAUGUUCUGCACUCAGUGAGGGAACAUAGCGGACUCAACAAAGUCAUUCUUUACUUCAACUAGCCUGAUUUCCUAUGUGAAGCUUCCUACCAUCUUCACCGCUCUCUUAUGCAGUCUUAAAAUAGUUUUUAUUUAUUUGAUGCAGAAAGGGCCUGAAAUGGAUAAGGGGCAGGAGAACUGGAUGAUUGCCAUAAUGGUUUCUGUCACGGUAGUGAAGUUUCUGCUAAUGCUCUAUUGUCGAAGAUUUAAGAAUGAAAUUGUCAGAGCCUAUGCUCAAGAUCAUCUUUUUGACGUCGUAACAAAUUCAGUUGGUUUGAUAACAGCCGUCCUAGCAGUCCGAUAUUACUGGUGGAUCGAUCCUACUGGAGCUAUUAUAGUAAGUUUCUUAAACUGUGAAUUCUCGCAGUUCUUUAUUCUGCUGCAUUUCAAGUUGGUUUAACCACACUUCAACUUCUCUUGCUUUAUUCAUUUUUUUUUUAGAAAAAACUAUCUGGGUAGAUAUGAUUAAAUCCAUGUCACCUAUUAUGUCCUGCAGAAUAUGUUCAAAUGCUCUGUGCUAUUUUUGUAAAAAUUGCUUGGCCUUUCAAUGAGCUGAUAGCAAUGCCUAUCGGUGUCCUUAGCAGGGCACUGUAGGAUGGAUAGUAAAUAAGAAUCUCAUUUGGUUCCUCCUAUUAGGAUUUAAGACUUUGGUUUAAGAAUUAUCGAUCAUUUCUUCACCCAAUACGCAGAUAGCGUUGUAUACCAUCAACACAUGGACCAGAACAGUUAUCGAGAAUGUAUGGUCUUUGAUUGGAAGAACUGCCCCGCCUGAGUUUCUAGCAAAGCUAACAUACCUGAUAUGGAAUCACCAUAAAGAGAUCAAGCACAUUGACACAGUUAGGGCAUACACUUUCGGUAACCAUUACUUUGCAGAGGUUCACAUAGUCUUGCCAGAAGACAUGGUUUUGAACCAAGCACAUAAUAUCGGCGAGGAUCUCCAAGAGAAGCUUGAGCAAUUACCUGAAGUUGAGCGAGCUUUUGUGCAUAUAGAUUUCGAGUUUUCCCAUAGGCCUGAACACAAGAGCAAGUUCUAAAGGGUGAUAGUACUAAUGGCUGGAGCCCAACCUUUCACUGCAAGUUCUUUGCGAGGACAACUAAUUUUCUCUUGUUCCACUGCUUAAUUGACAGCCCGUAGCUUCUUGUCUGCUAUAAUUUACCUAAUAUUCCGCUCUAAU